CCUGCCGCAGAGCUGAAUCCAUGUGAGUCAAACCCUCCAGAUCCACGCUGUGCCACAGCGACUCGUCCAACCUGAGACAGAAACACAGGCAGGACAUCAGCCGACCAGAGUUCCAUCUCCUGUCUGAGGAGGUUUUAUUUGUACCGUCUCCUUUAUAUUUUGAGUGUGGAGCAGUGGAGCUGUAGACUCACACUAAACGGUGCCAGCGUUUGCAGAUUCUGGACAUCCUGAGGAGAUCCUGCAGGGGGAGGCAGAAGAGGAUCUUGAGAAGCAGCUCGUCUGAUGGUGUGGUCAAGACUCUUCAAAGGUCAGAAGAAUCCUCCUCGUACCUGACGUGGGCUCCUUCUUCCUCCUCGGCCUCUUGGCCAGAACAAAGUGCCCGCAGUCGUUUUCUUUGCCUUUGCCGACGAGCCGCUGCAGCUUGUGUCGGGGCGAGCUCUGCAGGAUGAGAUCUGUCGGGGUGCACUCUGUGUCCAGACCCUCACUCGGGCAGUGUCUGGACUUACGCUUGUGGGACUGAGCCAGCAUGGAGCCCUGGAGGCUGAGGCAGGGCAGCUCCUGCAGAGGCAUGCUGGGUAGAAGGAAAAUGUAAAAGAAAAACAAGAUGAGGACGCUUUAAUACUCACUGCCAGCAGCGGAGCGCCCUGUUUUUCAUUUACUGCUACGUCACUG